ensembl:snRNA U6 U6 spliceosomal RNA
GUGCUCACUUCAGCAGCAUAUAUACUAACACUGGUACGAUACACAGAUUAGCAUGACCCCUGCACAAGAAUGACAUGCCAGUGUAUGAAACAUCCCAUAUUUUU